ACUCCACACUCGCAUCCCCUCCUGCCUCUCUCGCACCGUCCUCCCUCCUGCCCUCUAUGCAUGGCGGCGGUGCAAGGCCCGGCCACAUCGCCACCCUUCCUACCCGCUGGAAAUCGUCGCGCCCGCGCCUCCCGCUGGAGCCGAGGCCUCAACAAGCGCCAGCUGCUCAAGCUGGCCGGACCUGUGGCUGGCCAGACAUGUGGCUAGCCGGACCUGUGCUCGCCUGCCUCCCGUAGUCCCACCUCACAGGCUGGUCUGCGAUGGCGGCGGAUCUCCUCCCUUCAAACCUGCUUUCGGACGCGGUGCCGGAGUAGGCUCUCUCCCCGGUGCAUCCGACCCAUCGGCGAGAUCUGCCGCCGUCGUCCACCCCGGCCUCGGCAGCCAACAGAUCCACACACCACCUCGGUCCCCUUGUCAAUCCUCAUCGUCUUCCUCACGAUUCAAUCCCUAACUUAAUAUCUCUGCUGCUUUUGUUUCACAGCUUGGGCGCCCAAACUCGGCACAGAUUUGCAAGCGAGAGGGGCGGAGCUACCAGCCGAGCGCACCGAAGCCGGCGAGGGAUGGCAGUGGCCCGUGCGCCCAGCGCGUGCGUUUGGGCAUGAGGCGGAGAGGAGCAGCGGUUCCAUAAUAUUUUUUUUAUUGUGCCCGACCAUGGUCAGCUGGCUGGCACCAAAGGUGGGGAGGGCUGGCGCAUAUUUGUGGGACGCGGUGAGCAGCUUGCGAAUGGGCGAUGAGCAGGCAUACGGGAGGGCGAGGUUGGUGGGCUGCGAGGCCUCCCUUGCCAACGGAGGCAUGCAGGUCCUCUCUCUAGGUGAUGAGUCGUUGGAUCCAUCUAUCCUCCUCCUCCCUUAUUGUUAUUGUUCAAUCCGUUGCUUAUAUGCUGGCGAACAUAAUCAUGGCAUGAUUUAAUCUGUGGCUUCUAAGCACCUGGGUGGACCAAGAAAGUGCAUGAUUUAAUUGGAUUCAUGGUCCAGGUGCUCUGUUUUCCAUAGCACAUCUAUGCAUCAACUGUUCGUUGAAAUGCGUACCUAGGAUAUAAAUGAUAUUACCAAUAGUUUGCACAUUAUUCCAUUAGUAAAAAAUAGCAGUAAUUAGUCGCGCACACUACCUAGACUCAUUUGUGCUGGUAGCUUGUUGCAAUUUAACAGUAUAUUUAGCUUUUGCACUGCUCUCUGUUCCCUAGAAGCUGACUCUUUGUAUUCUUUUAUCUGACUUGCAGAGCAUCACAUUUCAGUGUGAAUAAGGAGAAGAGUAACAAUAAUGGUUUUUACCAUUUAAUCUAACCCAUGAUUUUCCUAUUUACACAAUAAGUGCACAUUGGUAAAAGAAUAAAUCUUGCUAUCUAAUUUAAGGAUGCAUGCUCCUUGGAAAUUUAAUAACUCGGCUCAUAAAUAAAUGUGGGAUCUGUUUGCUUCAUGCAUAUGUUCAGCUCUGAAUGUCUAUUGCAUGAUAUUAUGGUUCUAAAAGAAACACGGUGGUGCAUUGAUCUAUUGCAUUCUCACUUGAUGAUUGAAACCAAAGGGCUGGUUAGGCUUCAAGCCAUUUUAAAAGGGCUGGUUAGGCUGGCAUAUGAUUUGAUUACAGAUUACCAUAUUUUCCUAUAGAAACAUAUCGUGCUCUUGUUAGAAAAUAACUGACAUGGUCGUGCAACAAUUUAGUUUGUGAGCUUUUAGUUUUUUCGUGCAACAAUUUAGUUUGUUUGUGAACUUUUAGCGUUGUAUUAAAUUACAGAAUGGCUGGUAUAUUAUUGGUUCUGUGGAAGAUAUCCAAACAAAACUUUUAAAGUGGCAGGAAGCUGCAGCUAAACGCGAGCGAGCCAUGGCCUAGGCUCUUACUCAUUAGGUAUUUUGUGACAAGCUUGAAAUAGAAACACCUGCAGAAAUAACUGUGAUUGAAGUAAGCAAGCUAAGUUGGAAACAAAACACAUGCUUUUGCUAAGUCAAAGCUAAGCAACAAGGUGGCAUGUUAGCUUCUGGUGGAACUUCAACCUUUUGCAGGAACAAAACUUUGCUGUUGUAGCUUCAUGUACCUUUGGUUGUUUCCGCUCCUUUUUGUUGUGUUUUGUCCUAAGCCUUUUUAUUGUUUCUGAUCCUUGAAUGUUGGGCUGCUAGUGCUACUAGUUGGAAAGACUGUAUGUGAUCCCUUAUUUUGAUGUUAUUCUGGAUGGAAUAUGGAAUAUUAUGGUCCUAUAUUUUGGUCUGGUA